UCGAGGGAGGCGGGACUUCGGCUGUAACACAGACACGUGUACACAGGGAAGCAGGAAGUGAAGCUGGCCUCUGAACAGCAUCAUGAUCGCAGGCGUCAGUCCCGUGCUUCAGGCCCUGCUGGGGACCCUGUUCACCUGGGGCCUCACCGCAGCUGGAGCCGCUCUCGUCUUCGUCUUCUCCAGCGGACAGAAGCGGAUCCUGGAUGGCAGUCUGGGAUUUGCUGCAGGGGU